rnacentral:rRNA from 1 species
UACGUAGGAGGCGAGCGUUGUCCGGAAUUACUGGGCGUAAAGCGCGUGUAGGCGGUCUCUUUUGUCGGGGAUGAAAGCCCUCUGCUCAACGGAGGGAGGCUUCUCGAAACGGGGAGACUCGGUGGAGUCUGGCAGGGGGGUGCGGAAUGGCCGGUGGAGCGGUGAAAUGCGUAGAGAUCGGAAAGAACACCAACGGCGAAAGCACUCUGCUGGGCCGACACUGACACUGAGAGACGAAAGCUAGGGGAGCGAAUGGG